GCUUGCUGGAUGCUGACGAGCGGCGGACGGGUGAGUAAUGCAUAGGAAUCUGCCCGAUAGUGGGGGAUAACCUGGGGAAACCCAGGCUAAUACCGCAUACGUCCUACGGGAGAAAGGGGGCUCCGGCUCCCGCUAUGGGAUGAGCCUAUGUCGGAUUAGCUAGUUGGUGAGGUAACGGCUCACCAAGGCCACGAUCCGUAGCUGGUCUGAGAGGAUGAUCAGCCACAUCGGGACUGAGACACGGCCCGAACUCCUACGGGAGGCAGCAGUGGGGAAUAUUGGACAAUGGGGGAAACCCUGAUCCAGCCAUGCCGCGUGUGUGAAGAAGGCCCUCGGGUUGUAAAGCACUUUCAGCGAGGAAGAACGCCUAGCGGUUAAUACCCGCUAGGAAAGACAUCACUCGCAGAAGAAGCACCGGCUAACUCCGUGCCAGCAGCCGCGGUAAUACGGAGGGUGCAAGCGUUAAUCGGAAUUACUGGGCGUAAAGCGCGCGUAGGUGGCUUGAUAAGCCGGUUGUGAAAGCCCCGGGCUCAACCUGGGAACGGCAUCCGGAACUGUCAAGCUAGAGUGCAGGAGAGGAAGGUAGAAUUCCCGGUGUAGCGGUGAAAUGCGUAGAGAUCGGGAGGAAUACCAGUGGCGAAGGCGGCCUUCUGGACUGACACUGACACUGAGGUGCGAAAGCGUGGGUAGCAAACAGGAUUAGAUACCCUGGUAGUCCACGCCGUAAACGAUGUCGACCAGCCGUUGGGUGCCUAGCGCACUUUGUGGCGAAGUUAACGCGAUAAGUCGACCGCCUGGGGAGUACGGCCGCAAGGUUAAAACUCAAAUGAAUUGACGGGGGCCCGCACAAGCGGUGGAGCAUGUGGUUUAAUUCGAUGCAACGCGAAGAACCUUACCUACUCUUGACAUC
rnacentral:rRNA from 2 species